AGUGAGCGCUGGCGGUAGGCCUAACACAUGCAAGUCGAACGGCAGCACAGUAAGAGCUUGCUCUUACGGGUGGCGAGUGGCGGACGGGUGAGGAAUACAUCGGAAUCUACUUUUUCGUGGGGGAUAACGUAGGGAAACUUACGCUAAUACCGCAUACGACCUACGGGUGAAAGCAGGGGAUCUUCGGACCUUGCGCGAUUGAAUGAGCCGAUGUCGGAUUAGCUAGUUGGCGGGGUAAAGGCCCACCAAGGCGACGAUCCGUAGCUGGUCUGAGAGGAUGAACGGCCAAAAUGGAAAUGAGACACGGCCCAGACUCCGAGGGGAGGCAGAAGGGGGGAAUAUUGGAAAAGGGGGGGAAGCCUGAUCAAGCCAUACCGGGUGGGUGAAGAAGGCCUUCGGGUUGGAAAGCCCUUUUGUUGGGAAAAAAAAGGAGCAGGUUAAAACCCCGUUGUUUGGAGGGUACCAAAAGAAAAAGCACCGGAGAACUUCGU
rnacentral:rRNA from 1 species